UUUUGCUUUGCUUUGCGCCUUGAAUAUUAUAGGUAAAAUAUAUUUAAUAUUCCAAUUGACCCAAUUUAGAUAAAAAUAUAAAAUAAUUAUCUUAUAUUUUAUUAAAAUGUUUGCUAAUACUUUAAAAAAAAAAAAAUUCUUUUGGCAUUUUGGCAUAUAUUGGCUAUGUCGUCUUCUGUAUUACAUGCUAUGCAUCAUGGCAUUUUAGCACACAUUGGCUACCUUGUCCGCUCUCCAGCCUGGGUCAAUUGCAGUAUAAUGAUGCUAAUUUUGAAGGUUAGCUAGCUGCAAAUUUUUAUGUGAUUUUUGUUUGUAUUUAUGUUGUUGGACGCUUUAGUAAGAACAAGAAAUCGAUUGCCUAUGGUUUAUUUAUUUAUAUCAUAUGUUUUCAUUUUUUUUUUACUGGGAGUAGAGCUAUUUUUGCACUCUUUUUUGGUUAUAGAAGCUCUAAAUAAAUUCAAUGAAGAAAGCAUCCAAUUGAGAGAAGGGAAAAAGAGCCUCAAGUACCAAAAUGCUGUCGUUUAUCUAGACUUGAAAAGAGUUCUUCUAGCAUUCCAAUAAUCUCAGUGAGCAAUCCGGAGAAAGGAGCCUUGUGGUUAUGUUCUUAUGAUGAGGGAGUUUCUUUACUACCUUAUGUGUUUCUGUACAAUAAUUUAAGCUAAGCUAAGUUGUAUGUAUUUGUAGGGUUCAACACUUUGAAUGUUUGAGGAAGUAUUAUUUUACAUUGAAA